UGGGGAAUAUUGGACAAUGGGCGAAAGCCUGAUCCAGCCAUGCCGCGUGUGUGAAGAAGGUCUUCGGAUUGUAAAGCACUUUAAGUUGGGAGGAAGGGUUGUAGAUUAAUACUCUGCAAUUUUGACGUUACCGACAGAAUAAGCACCGGCUAACUCUGUGCCAGCAGCCGCGGUAAUACAGAGGGUGCAAGCGUUAAUCGGAAUUACUGGGCGUAAAGCGCGCGUAGGUGGUUAGUUAAGUUGGAUGUGAAAUCCCCGGGCUCAACCUGGGAACUGCAUUCAAAACUGACUGACUAGAGUAUGGUAGAGGGUGGUGGAAUUUCCUGUGUAGCGGUGAAAUGCGUAGAUAUAGGAAGGAACACCAGUGGCGAAGGCGACCACCUGGACUGAUACUGACACUGAGGUGCGAAAGCGUGGGG
rnacentral:rRNA from 1 species